rnacentral:rRNA from 1 species
CGGUGAAUACGUUCCCGGACCUUGCACACACCGCCCGUCAAGCCAUGGAAGCCGGGUGUACCUAAAGUCGGUAACCGUAAGGAGCCGCCUAGGGCAAAACUGGUGACUGGGGCU